UCUCCAGGGGAAUCUUCCUGACCCAGGGAUUGAACCCAGGUCUCCUGCAUUGUAGGCACGUUCUUUACCACCAGGGAAGCCCUAAAAGGACUCUAUGUAUAUGAACUCAUCUUAUGUAACCAAGGAAUGUGUGAUAAGAGUCCAGCUGGCUUACAACUUCGUUUCAGCCUUGUGAUACCCUGAGAAGAGCCCAGCUUAGCCUGCCAGGACCCCUGACCUACACAAGGCUGUGAGUGUUGUGAACACUGCAUUCCCUGAAACCACUGAAGAACAAAGCACUGCAUUCAAGCCUAAGGGGAGGGUGGAGGUUACAGAUCCAGCCAUCCGUCUUUCUUCUUCUCCUCAGAGGCCUUUGGGUAGUCCUCUCACGCAUGACUCUGGGCUUGGCCACGUGACUGUUCACUGAUGGAACAUCAUAAGAUGUGAUGCAGGCAGUCAUUUUGUGCCCUGAAACGUUCUUUCUUGCUGCUGGAGACUCUGCAUCCAUCGAAGAAGCUCAGGACAGCCUGCUGGGGACAUGGCCCAGCUGAAAACAACAUAUGCCAGGGAUGGACAUACAAGAUUCAAGUUGACAUCUACCUGUCUUCACUGAGCAUUACUUUACUAGUGUGUGAGAUGAGUGCAAUUGUGCGGUAGUUUGAGCAUUCUUUGGCAUUGCCUUUCUUUGGUAAUGGAAUGAAAACUGACUUUUUCCAGUCCUGUGGCCACUGCUGAAUUUUCCAAAUUUGCUGGCAUAUUGAGUGCAGCACUUUCACAGAAUGAUCUUUCAGGAUUUGAAAUAGCUCCACUGGAAUUCCAUCACCUCCACUAGCUUUGUUCGUAGUGAUGCUUUCUAAGGCCCACUUGACUUCACAUUCCAGGAUGUCUGACUCUAGGUGAGUGAUCACACCAUCGUGAUUAUCUGGGUUGUGAAGCUCUUUUGUGCACAGUUCUUCUGUGUACUCUUGCCACCUCUUCUUAAUAUCUUGCUUCUGUUAGGUCCAUACCAUUUCUGUCCUUUAUUGAGCCCAUCUUUGCAUGAAAUGUUCCCUUGAUAUCUUUAAUUUUCUUGAAGAGAUCUCUAGUUUUUCCCAUUCUGUUGUUUUCCUCUAUUUCUUUGCAUUGAUCGCUGAGGAAGGCUUUCUUAUCUCUUCUUGCUAUUCUUUGGAACUCUGCAUUCAGAUGCUUAUAUCUUUCCUUUUCUCCUUUGCUUUUCACGUCUCUUGUUUUCACAGCUAUUUGUAAGGCCUCCCCAGACAACCAUUUUGCUUUUUUGCAUUUUUUUUUCCCAUGGGGAUGGUCUUGAUCCCUGUCUCC
ensembl:lncRNA